UACGUAGGGGGCAAGCGUUGUCCGGAAUCAUUGGGCGUAAAGCGCGCGCAGGCGGCGCGGAGAGCCCGGCGUGAAAGCCCCCGGCUCAACCGGGGGAGGCCGUCGGGGACCUUCGGGCUGGAGGCCGGCAGGGGGGAGUGGAAUUCCCGGUGUAGUGGUGGAAUGCGUAGAGAUCGGGAGGAACACCGGUGGCGAAGGCGCUGACCUGGACGAUGAUUGACGCUGAGGCGCGAAAGCGUGGGGAGCAAACAGG
rnacentral:rRNA from 1 species